rnacentral:rRNA from 1 species
UAGUCCACGCCGUAAACGAUGUCAACUAGCCGUCGGGCUCAUUUAAGGGUUUGGUGGCGCAGCUAACGCGCUAAGUUGUCCGCCUGGGGAGUACGGUCGCAAGAUUAAAACUCAAAGGAAUUGACGGGGGCCUGCACAAGCGGUGGAGCAUGUGGUUUAAUUCGACGCAACGCGCAGAACCUUACCAGCUUUUGACAUCCUGGUCGCGGAUUUGGGAGACCAUUUCCUUCAGUUCGGCUGGACCAGUGACAGGUGCUGCAUGGCUGUCGUCAGCUCGUGUCGUGAGAUGUUGGGUUAAGUCCCGCAACGAGCGCAACCCUCAUCCUUAGUUGCCAGCAUUUAGUUGGGCACUCUAAGGAAACUGCCGGUGAUAAGCCGGAGGAAGGUGGGGAUGACGUCAAGUCCUCAUGGCCCUUACAAGCUGGGCUACACACGUGCUACAAUGGCGAUGACAGUGAGCAGCUAACCCGCGAGGGGGAGCUAAUCUCAGAAAACCG